CAGUAGCCACGGUAAUAAAGAGGGUGCGAGCGUUAAUCGGAUUUACUGGGCGUAAAGCGUGCGUAGGCGGCUUCUUAAGUCGGAUGUGAAAUCCCUGAGCUUAACUUAGGAAUUGCAUUCGAUACUGGGAAGCUAGAGUGUGGGAGAGGAUGGUAGAAUUCCAGGUGUAGCGGUGAAAUGCGUAGAGAUCUGGAGGAAUACCGAUGGCGAAGGCAGCCAUCUGGCCUAACACUGACGCUGAGGUACGAAAGCAUGGGGAGCAAACAGGAUUAGAUACCCCUGUAGUCCCUGUCUCUUAUAC
rnacentral:rRNA from 1 species